rnacentral:rRNA from 1 species
UACAGAGACUGCGAGCGUUAUUCGGAUUCACUGGGCGUAAAGGGUGCGCAGGCGGCCAAGUGUGUGAGGCGUGAAAGCCCGGGGCUUAACCCCGGAAUUGCACCUCAAACUACUUGGCUAGAGCAUUGGAGAGGGUAGCGGAAUUCACGGUGUAGCAGUGAAAUGCGUAGAUAUCGUGAGGAACACCAGAGGCGAAGGCGGCUACCUGGACAAUUGCUGACGCUCAGGCACGAAAGCGUGGGGAGCAAAAGGG